UACGGAGGGUGCAAGCGUUAUCCGGAUUCACUGGGUUUAAAGGGUGCGUAGGUGGGCAGGUAAGUCAGCGGUGAAAUCUCCGAGCUUAACUCGGAAACUGCCAUUGAUACUAUCUGUCUUGAAUAUCCUGGAGGUGAGCGGAAUAUGUCAUGUAGCGGUGAAAUGCUUAGAUAUGACAUAGAACACCAAUUGCGAAGGCAGCUCACUACGGGAUCAUUGACACUGAGGCACGAAAGCGUGGGGAUGAAACAGG
rnacentral:rRNA from 1 species